UUGACCUUUUGUUUAUAUUAAGUUCCUUUGUAUUUUCUUUCUUUUCUUCUAAAGUGCCCCAGUUCUGCAUAAAUAUUCUUGUGCGUGUGAAAGAAUCAUUCCCUGUUUGCUUAAUAUGUGACAUAUAGUUGAUAUCUUAAGCUUUUAUUUUAAAUCUCCGAUUUCUUGCCAUGUUGUUAAUGUACUAUAUGAUAAUUGCACCUAUAAUUUGUUUCUGAAUAAGCUACUGGACAACAUUUCCUGAUUCUUUGCAAGUUUUUGGAAACAAUUCAACUUCCACAUACACAUAUACAAUUAUACUUCUCUUACUCAAAUUUACCAUUUACUUUUGGCACAUACGCAAACGUAAAUAUGCAUUUUUCAUUGGUUUAUUUUUUUCAUAGGAACGAAAGUGAGGAUAUCAAGGAUAUUGUUGAAAAAGUUAC
rnacentral:pre_miRNA from 1 species